rnacentral:rRNA from 1 species
UACGGGGGGGGCAAGCGUUGUUCGGAAUUACUGGGCGUAAAGGGUUAGUAGGUGGCCAACUAAGUCAGACGUGAAAUCCCUCAGCUUAACUGGGGAACUGCGUCUGAGACUGAUUGGCUCGAGGACAGGAGAGGAACGCGGAAUUCCAGGUGUAGCGGUGAAAUGCGUAGAUAUCUGGAGGAACACCGGUGGCGAAGGCGGCAUCCUGGACCAACACUGACACUGAGGAGCGAAAGCCAGGGGAGCAAACGGG